rnacentral:misc_RNA from 1 species
GAAAUGCGAUACGCAAUGCGAAUUGCAGAAUUCCGCGAGUCAUCAGAUUUUUGAACGCAUACUGCGCUGAGGGGAUAUCCCCACAGCAUGUUUGUUUCAGUGUGUUUGUUGACCUCACAAAUCAAAAUGCGAUUGAAGUUUUUUUAUUGAAAUUUCUCUCGUUAAAUAAGUUAUAUGUGAUUUAUUGGUCACAAAAAAAUCCAACAUAGCGGUCGCUUUUAAUUAAGUGAUUAUGUUGUGAUUAAUGACUAAUAUUAUUUAUAUACAUAUAUAAUAAAAAAAAUAAAUUUCUUCAAUCAGCACCUGAAAUCAAGCAAGAACACCCGCUGAACUUAA